GGGCCAAAGGAGGAAUGACAGAUGGGCGGGAGAGGGGAACUAUGCUUCCUGACUUCAGGGGCUGAUCACCCCACUGCUCCUGCUGGCCACUCUCCUGCCUUCCACCUACACAGCCAGAGAGGGGUUGCUCCUCUCUGCCAAAACAGUUCGAGGAAGGAGCCCUUCUCUCAACCGCUCCAUGCUCGUGGUCCACAGAGCUGAGAGAAGUCAGACUGCAGGAAGAACUUCCUCCAUCCUGGUUCCUGGUGGAAACUCAGUUCCUUUCCUUAGAUGGGGGGGGGGGGCGGAUCUUUUCUCUCAGUUCUUUUUAAGGGCCCACAGCUUCACCUUGCUAUAAUUAAAGAACACUUUACUUGGUUUUCCCUAGGAAACAGCCUCCCUCUUCCAACUACUGCCACAACCAUAACACAGUAUGACUUCCCUGCCUUAGAUUUACGGACACCAUUCCCGUUUCUCCAUCUACAGUGAGCAAAACUAAGGAUCUUAAAACUACACAGAGUUGAUGUUGAUACUCGUCUAUGAACCGGGAUCCACUUGACCUUCAGGAUCAUCUGAUGGGCCUUGGAGCCGGGGCAGCUUGUCCCUCAGGCUGGACCCGAAUAGCACCUUGGAUGAGGACAACUGGGGAGACUGGGGCAAGUGAACAGGAGGAGGAUUCUCGGGUCAGCGUGGUGCUCACAUCUUUUUCAUCUUUGCAGCCCCAGCACCCUGUCCAGUAUGUGGCAUGGAGUAGGUGCUCAAUAAAUGUUUACUGUGUAAACACGGAAGAGGAAAUAAACUUGGCAACACUUAAAAAUAGCACAAAUAAUGUUAAUUGUAGAAUCUAGGAGUUGGGUAUAUGGUAUUUCAGCUCUUCUGUAUGUUUGAAAAAUUUUCUAAUAAAACACUGGGGGAAAAGUAAUAAAUAAAUA